CUCUUCCUCGUCUUCUUCUUCAUUG
rnacentral:sRNA from 1 species